CACACACACACACGCACACACCACAUGCACACGCUCCCUCUCCAACCCUCCGGGCUCUGCCUUCACCCGCCCCUCAAAGUCCUGAAUGACCUCCUAGUUGCCAAAGCCACUGGGUGCCGUGCAGCCUCCCUCGCUCACCUCUUCCUGGCAUCUGAGCCUGUUGACCACGUCUUCCUUCCUGAAACGCUUGGAGUGCAGUUUCCAGAGUUGGCACCCGCGGCCCCCACCUCCGAAUUUUUCACAUACCUGGGUACCUUGCAGCUUCUCGGCCUCCGCGGCCUGGCUUUUCUCUGUGGUCCCACCGUGCCAGCCCCUCUCCCAGUCCGAGGCCCACUCUGGGCAUCUCAGCCACUCCCAUGGUUUUAACAACCUCCUGCCUGAUGAUGACUCUUGAACUUCAUCUCCAGCCCAGAAUGCCCCCGAGCUGUUGAAGACGGUGAAUCUAACUGCCUAGGGAACAUCUCCUCUAGAGCUUCCUAGGCCAGCGGAAGCGGUCCAGACCCAAACUCCUAAUUGCUUGCCAGGAAAACGCCAGAACCUGCUUCUGUGUUUCCAGUCUCAGUAAAUGAUACCGGGGUCGGCACCACCGCGGGGCCACAGUUGGGAUCCAUUCUUGACUUGGUCUCCCUUUCCUGUUUCAACAAUCUCCAAAAUGCCACCAGCAGCCUCAACAUUACAUUAUUCUAGUGAGACUCUGCAGCUGAACAUCCAUAGAUGAGAGUCACAGCUUCAAACAGAAUUUCCCAAAUUCUCUGCCCUCAAUCUGCUUCAACUCUUCUGCCUUAUCAUCUGAAAUUCAGACUUCAAAUUCUAGCCUGACCAUAGCCGCCUAAAAUUUUUGGAAGCAGGGAGAGGGAGGUGAGUAGAGUGAAACUCAGGUGAGGCUAUGACCUCUGUCUCCCAGAGAUGCAAUCUACCCCAUUGCCGCCCACCUGCCCACCACACACACAUUCCGCUUAGGCCAUACUCUUUCCCAGGAGUCCUCCCUGGCUGUAGUUUCUAGUUUUCCUAGUCUCAAGCUACCUUCGUCCCGGUGCCUUGUUCAGAACUGCUCACCCAACCAUUCAAUGGGCAAUAGGGUCAAAAGCUAAAUCUGGAGUGAGGGUCUGUAGCCUUCCUGUCCCACGGUGUUUGCUUCCCAGUUGAAUGUCAGACUCCAGGGGCUGGCCACCAUUGGCCUUCGACAGUACCAUCAACACUCAAUACAUCCACAGCUGUGUGUAUUCUACCAGGGACAUCUGGAGGAAGGGGUGGCUUAAAUUAUACCAGAGAAAAGCAUGGGGAUUUUUCAAGUUCCUGAAUUCCUUUUAUUUAAAAAGAAGCCUAACUAUGACCUCACUGGGGCUAUACCAUCUCUGGGUCGGGAAAGAGGGCUCUAUUUAAGAAUUUAAUUUGGUAGAAGCCUAAACCUCAGCAUUACACAAUAUGCCUAUGUAACACACCUGCACAUGUACCCCCGAAUCUAAAAUAAACAAAAUAACAACAAUUUAAAAAAAUUUUUUUAACAUUUUUAAAGAAUUUAAUUUGGGAAAUCAAAAAUUAUGAUGAUUGUAUGACAUUGUGAAUGCAAUUAAUGCUGCUGAAUUACACAUGCAAAAUGGUUAAAAUGGCAACUUAUAUAUAUAUUUUUACUACAAUAAAAAAUUAUCAGAAGAACAACAAAAUUAAAAA